rnacentral:rRNA from 1 species
AGAGUUUGAUCCUGGCUCAGGAUGAACGCUGGCGGCAUGCCUAAUACAUGCAAGUCGAACGAGGAUCCUUCGGGAUCCUAGUGGCGAACGGGUGAGUAACACGUAGGGAACCUGCCCGCGCACCGGGAAUACGCUCUGGAAACGGAGAACAAAUCCCGAUGUACAGGAAGGAGGCAUCUUCUUUCUGUGAAACAUCCUGUAAGGGAUGGGGCGCGGAUGGACCUGCGGUGCAUUAGUUGGUUGGCGAGGGUAAAGGCCCACCAAGACGAUGAUGCAUAGCCGGCCUGAGAGGGCGGACGGCCACAUUGGGACUGAGACACGGCCCAGACUCCUGCGGGAGGCAGCAGUAGGGAAUUUUCGUCAAUGGGCGCAAGCCUGAACGAGCGAUGCCGCGUGAGUGAAGAAGGCCUUCGGGUCGUAAAGCUCUGUUGCGGGGGAAAAAAGGCAACUACAGGAAAUGGUAGAUGACAGAUGGUGCCCCGCCAGAAAGUCACGGCUAACUACGUGCCAGCAGCCGCGGUAAUACGUAGGUGGCGAGCGUUAUCCGGAAUGAUUGGGCGUAAAGGGUGCGCAGGCGGUCCUGCAAGUCUGGAGUGAAACGUAUGAGCUCAACUCAUGCAUGGCUCUGGAAACUGGAGGACUGGAGAGCAGGAGAGGGCGGUGGAACUCCAUGUGUAGCGGUAAAAUGCGUAGAUAUAUGGAAGAACACCAGUGGCGAAGGCGGCCGCCUGGCCUGUUGCUGACGCUGAGGCACGAAAGCG